CAGUAGCCGCGGUAAUACGGAGGGCGCGAGCGUUACCCGGAUUUACUGGGCGUAAAGGGCGUGUAGGCGGCCUGGGGCGUCCCAUGUGAAAGGCCACGGCUCAACCGUGGAGGAGCGUGGGAUACGCUCAGGCUAGAGGGUGGGAGAGGGUGGUGGAAUUCCCGGAGUAGCGGUGAAAUGCGCAGAUACCGGGAGGAACGCCGAUGGCGAAGGCAGCCACCUGGUCCACUUCUGACGCUGAGGUGCGAAAGCGUGGGGAGCAAACCGGAUUAGAUACCCCGGUAGUCCCUGUCUCUUAUAC
rnacentral:rRNA from 1 species